rnacentral:rRNA from 1 species
AUUGAACGCUGGCGGCAUGCCUUACACAUGCAAGUCGAACGGUAACAGGGAGCUUGCUCCGCUGACGAGUGGCGAACGGGUGAGUAAUGUAUCGGAACGUACCAUUCAGUGGGGGAUAACGUAGCGAAAGUUACGCUAAUACCGCAUAUUCUGUGAGCAGGAAAGCAGGGGAUCGCAAGACCUUGCGCUGAUUGAGCGGCCGAUAUCAGAUUAGCUAGUUGGUGAGGUAAAGGCUCACCAAGGCGACGAUCUGUAGCGGGUCUGAGAGGAUGAUCCGCCACACUGGAACUGAGACACGGUCCAGACUCCUACGGGAGGCAGCAGUGGGGAAUUUUGGACAAUGGGGGCAACCCUGAUCCAGCCAUGCCGCGUGAGUGAAGAAGGCCUCGGUUGUAAAGCUCUUCGGUCCGGGAAAAGUACGACAUCAGUUAAUACCUGGUGUGGAUGAUGGUACCGGAAUAAGAAGCACCGGCUAACUACGUG